AUUUGUACCUGUGUAGACGCGAAGCCUCCGAAGGCGUUCUGCUGCUGAGAAAGCCAGUGGACGAUACUGAUGCUGUAACUCAGACCAUACCCAUAGAGCUCAGGUCCAGACAUCAGAGCCAGAAGCACAUACGAGGUCAUCUCUACUUCCAAAGAGUCGGUCACUGAUCCAUCGCUCGCUCUGCUCCAGUGACGUCCACCACCUGAUGGAGAUAUUAUAGAAAUACUGAAGCAAAGGUUCCCCAAAGAUAAGGUCUGAGAUGAGUGUGUUCCUCAUCUCCUCAUCUCCAGCCAGGGUGAAGGUGUAGAAGAGGAGAGCCUUGGCGUAGGUGGAGUUCACCUGAGUGUAUGCGUUCCUCAGGCAGGUCUGAGCUGUGCUCAGGAUCUCAGGAGUGAGUUGGUUGGUGCUCUCCAGGUACUGCAGGAUGAAGAUGUUGGGGGCGAAGCGCAGCAUGUUCUGCUCUCCACAGCCGUACGGCAUCGCCAGGAGACUCGCCAGGUUCUGUAGAGCUCGACCCAUCAGAUCUCCUGCGAAAUGAUGCUAAUAAACAGGUCCUGACCGUAGUCCUUGACUUCGAAGUUUUGCUGGAGCUCUGAGUUCUUCUCGUCCCAGACGGUGAUGACGUAAACUCCUUUUGUGGCCUCGCAGUUUAAACGAUAUGACAGAUCCACCAGACCGCUGGAGGUGGCGACGUUCAACCACUGACCGAUACGGUUUGAGUGCGGAUCCUUAAGAAGAAAAAGAAUCCAAUACUCUUACAUCCUAAAAUAUAGUCUUGAAAUGAGUAAUUAGCAUUAACAAACAAAUAAAACGUUUAAAUCAUAUUUAACAUUUUUAAAAUAAGAUGACAAUAUUUUUAAAGGCAAAUGGCAUGUUAUGAAAGUGUGUGUUAUGACUCUGUACCUUG